CAGUAACCACAGCAAAUGAAAACAAACAAGUUUAAAUGUUUCAAAUCAUUUCAUAGAUUAUUUGACAUGCCUGAAACAAACCAGAUUUUUAAUUCAAUUGUAUCAUCGAGAUUCAGUUGGAUCAAGAAGAAAAUGAAUUCAGAGCAGAGCAAAGCAAAUGUGAUCACUGUGUUAUCUCUGUUUGCUGAGUAAACAAUACCAGAGAAAGCAUAAACUGCAUAACAGAACAAAUUGCUUGGCAGCUUUCACUUGGUUUUGAAGUGUUGUUUAUACACUGCUAAGGUCUGAUUAGAAGUGGUCAUUUGCUUCCUGAUGGUGAAAAGAAAAUUAUACAAAUUCUAGGUUUAGAAAUAUAAAAUUAAAAGAGUUAGCCCCAAAAGCCACAAACUCAGGGCUAAGCCCUGCCGCCAGGAAUAACAGGCCAUAAAGAUAAAGAAAAGGAAUGCAGGAUCCAGCUCAGGCUAUCGAGGACUGACCCAUAAACCAUCCAAAGACGUCCCCCCAGCUUACUCAGAGUCAUACUUUAACCAGAUGUCCUCCAGACCCUGAUAAGCCCCUACUUGUGCUUUUCAGCCAUUGUGUCCUGCAGAGAGCACUCCAAGAAACCGGACAGCCCAAGCCUAACCAGAGGUGUUUCAAAUACAAAUGCUCCAUCAGUUUUGACAAACGUUUAAAAAUAAUGAGGACCUGAAGACCCUACCCUUCUCCUGAUUUAGUAGCUCUGUUCCAGGAACCAGGGGGCCAUAAAACCUUCUGGCGUCCCCUUAUCUCCUGGAGCCAUAAAACAAUCUUGUAACUUGUGGUACAUUCCCCUUUGACAUCCCCCAUCCCCUGGUGCUCACAGCCUCUGCCUUUAAAUACUCUUUUUCCCAGCCUCUCGGGGUCGACACCUCUGUCUCCUGCGUGGGAUAUGUGUCGGCCCGGAGAUCUCUGUAAUAGGUCUCCGUAAUAAACCUCGCCUUUGCUUAUUACAUCCAAAAUGGUCUCUCUGUGUCUGGGGUCCGCGAUUUCCCAAGACUUGAGUAAGGGUCUCUCUGCGUGGGAUCUUUCAUAUUUAUGGGGGCUCGUCCGGGAUCUGCGCGACUACCCCAGACUCCGAAGACCCCUUGGAGGUGAGUUGGAUGUUUGUCUGAGUGUUUCUGUGUGAGCGGCGCCGCAAUUGUCAGUCUGUGUCUGUCUCUGUUUUGGUUCCGCCGUGUGUGUAUAUAUGUGUGUCUUAGUACUGGUCAGUGUUAAGAGGGCAGAUGGGUAUUCCUGCCCUGUGUUAAGAGGGCAGAUGGGUGUUCCUGCCUUGUGCUAAGAGGGUGGAUGUGUAUUCCUGCCCUGUGCUAGGAGGGUGGAUGUGUAUUCCUGCCCUGUAGGAGAGUGGAUGUGUAUCCCCACUCAUGCAGCUGCCUUUGUGGUCCGUGAGGACCCCCUGGCUGCGGAAGGGGGGACGCCCCGGGCCCGCAAGGCUGCAGCCCCUGGAAGACGUUCCACGGGCGGAGAACAGUCGGGAGAGCCCGACUAUGGACAGUCAGGAGGACCUGACUCUGGUUUUCUGGAACAAAGGAGAUGGAAUGCUCCUUUUACCUAGGCGGGAGUGGACGAGGAAUCCCACUCCGUCAGAGGUCGAGUUCGGCUGCCUAUUUAAAUAUAGGCACGGACAAGUGUGCUUAGUCGUUAGGACAAGAGGACACUCUGGAAUCCUGUUGGGAGGUGGAAUCAGAUGGUCCAUCUCAUCCCAAAAGCAGCUAAGGUUAAGCUGCAGUUUGGGCCACGUACUGAAGGUACCAGGCAUCUGUGAAAGUUGGUUAUAAGAUGCUUUGUCUUGAUAUUGUUUGUCUGGCUUGUUUUCUGUGGUAUUGUCAAGUGUCUUUUUGGCUUUUGUUUCGUUUUUAAAUUUAGACUGACGACUGUGUUUGAAAUCUUGGACUGACGACUGUGUUUAAAAUCUUGGACUGACGACUGUGUUUGAAAUCAUGAAACUGUUUGCUUUGUUCGUCAUAGAGUUUUACUUGGUCCUCUUGGUGCUUAAGUUAAGAGUUAAAAAUAAUUUGCUUGAGAGAAAUUGUUUUCUGCCAGGGAGUUUUGUCUUUCUCUCUUGAGCCUCCUCCCCAAGGAGAGAGGCCCCUCCCUUUACUCCCCUUGAUCAGCCUAGCUGCUGUUAACAGUUGUGUAAACAGACAUUAACAAAAACCUUGAGGACAAAACCUCUCGUAAAUAAAAAAGUUCCCCAGAUUAGGCCUCCGGUAUGAAACAAGUAUAGUGAGUAAGAAACUUAAUUUUAUAGACCCCGCUCUAGUGGCGGUGUGUUGGUUGAUAGCCAACGUUAAUUUUUUAAAACAUAGUGUUUUAUCUGUGCUUGUGCUCGCAACACACAGUAGGGGGGAGCGAAACUAGCUGUGGAGCUGCUACAGCGAGCAUGGAGACUUCUCAAGUCUCACCCAAUUUUUCUGGCUCUUCAGGAGCUGUUUAAAAAGAAAAGGCUUAAGGUAAAAAGAAACACUAUAGAGAGAUUUCUUAGUGAAUUACUACACCUUGGUUCGCCAUCUCUGGGAAUCUCACAGUGGACAGCUGAGAUAAGCUAGAAAAGGAUUUAAAUUUUGCUUGAGAGCAAAGAAUCUUAAAGGCGGAGUUUCAGCCGGUUUGACACUUAGUGCGUAGCUGCCUAAAAGAUCAGAAAUGCUGUCAACAGGCUAUAAAAAAGGGACAGGCUGUGUUAAAAAUGCUACAUAAAGAAUAAUCUAAAAAGGCUGCGAGUGAGGUGGGAGAGGACUCUAAGAAAAACAAGAACAAGAAAGGAAUUUCUGCUUUUAGUGACCAGACCUUCAACUCUUGCUCACAGAAAGAGGGUGCUCAUUAAGAGAAGUUCUUUAAGGAGCCUGCCUUAUCUGCUGGCCCUAUUCCAAGAGAGGAGCCAGUCUCCAGCAUUAAAUUACUUUUCUCACUGGUCAUCAUUAGCAUGGAGAAUGCCUUUGAUCCUAUCCCCACAGCAGCCAGUUCCUGCCCCUGUGGUAGAAAUGUCCCAGGUUGGGGGGCAGAGAAGCCCCUAAAAUAGUUUCAAAGAAUCUACAACAAACUGUAAAGAACUUUGUUUUGUUUUGCCAGUUUGAAUUUAGAAUUCAGGCUUUGGCUGUGGCCAAGGUCAGGAUUAAUGUUUUCUUUUCCAUGGGCCUUUAGCCCACUGAGAAAGUUUGGUAAAGGGCUGCUACUGAGGUCCUGAAAGCCCCAGGUGAACUGGUUACAAUUCUUUUGUCAGCUGCUUAGUAUCUAACACUCAGGUUCUAACCGUCUCUCCAUCCUUUUGUUAUUAGUUCUUACUGGAAGCCUAGUGUCAUUUAGAGGAUGGGUCUCUUGAGUGAUAAAGCCACUGAGCUGGCACUAAAGGAAGGUACUCCUUAAGGGAAAAUCUAAGUCCAGAGAGACAGCCGGUAACAGAUAGGCUGCCCCUCUGCUCACUUUUCUGUUUCACAGACACAAGGUCUUUUUGUCCCAAGAAAGCCUCCUGGCUUAGCUGUGUGACUAAAUGCUAUUUGCCCUCUUCAGUGGACCUCUAUUCUCAAGAUUCCCUUGUUUUCUCACCAUCCCAUUUGAGAUGCUUGUUAGUAACUGUUACAGGUCUUCUUUACCACCGAGGAAAGACGGAAUCCUACUAGAGGCCAGAAAAAGUGUUCCAGAGAUGGAUAGAAGGCCCUCACUUCUGCCUGCUCUCUUCAGACGCCUAAAGACAGGAACAGUUCUCUUCAUGAAUGAAGGUCAGAGACAAGUGGGUGCUGCCAUGGUGGACAACACAAUGUCAUCUAGAAUGGCUGAACCUCUACCCCCCCAGCACAUCAGCGCCACAGAUGUCUUUGCCAUCUCUUAGAUGCCCUGAUGAAGCCAACAACUGUGAGUACUAUUCAUUGCCCAGGAAAACAGGAGGGAAGAGAUUCAGUGACAUGGGGCAGUGACAAAACAGAUAAAGUGGCUUGGGAAAUGGCUAUACAGGAGCCUAUCCUGGUUACAGGCCUGCAAGAGACAGCCACUGAGAACUAGGAUUAGACUAAGGGAUGGCCUCACUUAGAAAAGGCCCAAAUUGCUUAAAAGAUAAAGGACAAUGGCACACUUGAGGGGAAGCUAUACUCCCCAGAGAACAAAGAAAAGACUCACUUUGCCAAAUAAAAAAAUAGACUCAUUUAAGAGAUAAGAAGUUUGUCCAAAUAGUUAAAAUAUAUAUAAUAGACUUUAAGAUUUUAGCCAAGAGAGACAAUAAAAAAGUAUAAAAUACGUCAAUAAAUAAAUGCUUAACAAACAAACAGGACAAAGAGACCUAGAGAGUUUAAUGAAAAGUCGAAGUAAACUUCACUGAGAUAAAACCAGAAAAAUAUAAUCUCCUAGUGCUUGUAGAUACUUUUUCAGAAAUAGACAGAAGCUUUCCUCACCAAACGAGAGACGGCCUCUGCAAUCAUCAAGAAGAUACUGAAAGAAAUCUUCCCCAGGUCUGGAAUGCCCAAGGUAAUCUGGUCAGACAACGGUCCUACUUUCGUUGCCAAGGUAAGCCAGGGUGUGGCCAAAUAUUUAGAGGUCGAUUGGAAAUUACAUUAUAUUUACAGACCUCAAAGUUCAAGACAGGUAGAGUAAAUAAACAGAACUCUAAAAGAGACCCUAAACAAAUUGACCAUGGAGACUGGCACAGACUGGGUGACACUCCUUCCCUCUUGCUCUCUUCAGAGCAAGAAAUACCCCUUCCAGAUUCAGCCUUACCCACUUUGAGAUCUUAUAUGGGGCCUCAGCUCCCCUGACUGUAUUAGAUGAUGUUACUGAACCAACAUGUCAUAGUAAUAAUGAUUUGUGUGCCAGGCUAAAAGACCUACAGGUGAUACAGAAAGAAAUCUGCUCACAGCUGACAGCAGCCUAUGCCCCGGAGACCCCUGAGACAUCCCAUCAGUUCCAGGUCGGAAGCAGCUACACUGAGCCCAGACACUCGAUCCUCGCUGGAAAGGACCAUACCUGGUGCUGCUGACCACCCUGACAGCCGUCAAUUCUCAGCCCUCACCAGCCGUGUACUAGCUGUUAGGGCUGAGAGCUGGGACCUAGAGAGAAAUUCAGUCAUGUUUGUCCUGGGUUCCAUCGAGAUAGGUGUGGGGAUAGGCUUGAUUUCUAUUACAAAUAAUGUAACAUUACAUAUGUUAGUACUCCUAACACUUCUUGGGACUGUGCCUCAGGGAUCACAACCUAUAUAAGUUUAGAAGUUCUGAAAGACAGUCAUGACCUUGGUGUAUAGGUUCAGAUAGUGUCCAGAUUGGAAUCCUGAUGCUAAAGACUUAGUAAGAGACAAAAAAAAGGAGUUGAGAAUUACUUAGGGCUAGGGCUAUCUAGGUGCUACAAGGGCAGCACAAGGACAUCUGCUGUUGCCCUACAAUACAAGGCUUAUAGAGAAUUCAGAACUGCCAUUGACUCAGAUAUAAAAAGAGUAAAAGACUUUUUAGCUGACCUCCAAGAAUACCUAACUUCCCUCUCAGAGGUAGUCCUUCAAAAUAAGAAAAGAUCAGACCUGAUAUUCCUUAAAGAAGGAAUCUGUGUGCUACACUGAAAGAAAAAUGUUGCUUCUAUACAGACCAUUCAGGAGUAAUUAAAGACUCCAUAAAUAAACUUAAAAAAAGGUUAGACAAAAGACAGACAGACAGAAAAACACAUCAGAGAUAGUUCGAGAGCUAGUUUAGUAGAUCUCCCUGGAUGACUACCCUACUCUCUGCUACAGCUGGGCCAUUAUUAAUAAUUUUCUUGGUUUUAGUUUUUGGCUCCUGCGUGACAAACAGGUUAAUUGCUUUUGUUAAAAAUUGAGUGGGUGCUGUGCGGUUGAUGGUCCUGAGACAACAGUACCAGUCAGUUAGGACAACUGGUGAGACCAAAUAAGACUUGAUAUCAAAAUUCUAAGAUUAGAAUUAUUUAGUAGGAGAAGACGGGAAUGAAAAGAAAAUUAUACAAAUUCUAGGUUUAGAAAUAUAAAAUUAAAAGAGUUAGCCCCAAAAGCCACAAACUCAGGGCUAAGCCCUGCCGCCAGGAAUAACAGGCCAUAAAGAUAAAGAAAAGGAAUGCAGGAUCCAGCUCAGGCUAUCGAGGACUGACCCAUAAACCAUCCAAAGACGUCCCCCCAGCUUACUCAGAGUCAUACUUUAACCAGAUGUCCUCCAGACCCUGAUAAGCCCCUACUUGUGCUUUUCAGCCAUUGUGUCCUGCAGAGAGCACUCCAAGAAACCGGACAGCCCAAGCCUAACCAGAGGUGUUUCAAAUACAAAUGCUCCAUCAGUUUUGACAAACGUUUAAAAAUAAUGAGGACCUGAAGACCCUACCCUUCUCCUGAUUUAGUAGCUCUGUUCCAGGAACCAGGGGGCCAUAAAACCUUCUGGCGUCCCCUUAUCUCCUGGAGCCAUAAAACAAUCUUGUAACUUGUGGUACAUUCCCCUUUGACAUCCCCCAUCCCCUGGUGCUCACAGCCUCUGCCUUUAAAUACUCUUUUUCCCAGCCUCUCGGGGUCGACACCUCUGUCUCCUGCGUGGGAUAUGUGUCGGCCCGGAGAUCUCUGUAAUAGGUCUCCGUAAUAAACCUCGCCUUUGCUUAUUACAUCCAAAA